CGCGCAGGCGGCCAGGUCAGUCGAAUGUGAAAGCCCCCGGCUCAACUGGGGAAGGUCGUUCGAUACUGCCUGGCUCGAAGAUAGGAGAGGGAAGUGGAAUUUCAGGUGUAGUGGUGAAAUGCGUAGAUAUCUGAAGGAACACCAGUGGCGAAGGCGACUUUCUGGCCUAUUCUUGACGCUGAGGCGACGAAAGCGUAGGGGAGCGGAACG
rnacentral:rRNA from 1 species